rnacentral:rRNA from 1 species
GACGAACGCUGGCGGCGUGCUUAACACAUGCAAGUCGAACGGAAAGGCCCUGCUUUUGUGGGGUGCUCGAGUGGCGAACGGGUGAGUAACACGUGAGUAACCUGCCCUUGACUUUGGGAUAACUUCAGGAAACUGGGGCUAAUACCGGAUAGGAGCUCCUGCUGCAUGGUGGGGGUUGGAAAGUUUCGGCGGUUGGGGAUGGACUCGCGGCUUAUCAGCUUGUUGGUGGGGUAGUGGCUUACCAAGGCUUUGACGGGUAGCCGGCCUGAGAGGGUGACCGGCCAGAUUGGUACUGAGAUAGGCCCGGGACCCCUGGGGGGGGAAGAGGGGGGAAUUUUGGCAGAGGGGGGGGAGGCCGUAUGCGGCAACCCCGCGGGCGGGAGGAGGGCUUCGGGUUUAUAAACCGCUUUCGCCUGUAACAAGGGGGGGGGGAGGGAAGGGGAUAAGAAGACCCCGGCUAAGUACGUC